AACGAACGCUGGCGGCAGGCCUAACACAUGCAAGUCGAGCGAGGACUUCGGUUCUAGCGGCGGACGGGUGAGUAACGCGUCGGAAUGUGCCCUUCUCUACGGAAUAGCCCUGGGAAACUGGGAGUAAUACCGUAUACGCCCUAUUGGGGAAAGAUUUAUCGGAGAAGGAUCAGCCCGCGUUGGAUUAGGUAGUUGGUGGGGUAAUGGCCUACCAAGCCGACGAUCCAUAGCUGGUUUGAGAGGAUGAUCAGCCACACUGGGACUGAGACACGGCCCAGACUCCUACGGGAGGCAGCAGUGGGGAAUCUUAGACAAUGGGGGCAACCCUGAUCUAGCCAUGCCGCGUGAGUGAUGAAGGCCUUAGGGUUGUAAAGCUCUUUCAGCUGGGAAGAUAAUGACGGUACCAGCAGAAGAAGCCCCGGCUAACUCCGUG
rnacentral:rRNA from 1 species